rnacentral:misc_RNA from 1 species
GAUGAAGAACGUAGUGAAAUGCGAUAAGUAAUGUGGAUUGCAGAAUUCAGUGAAUCAUCGAAUUUUUGAACGCAACUUGCGCUCUCUGGUAUUCCGGAGAGCAUGCCUGUUUGAGUAUCAUGAAAUCUCAACCAUUAGGGUUUCUUAAUGGCUUGGAAUUGGGUGUUGCCAGUCGCCUGGCUCGCCUUAAAAGAGUUAGCGUGUUUAACUUGUCUAUCUGGCGUAAUAAGUUUCGCUGGUGUCGGCUUGAGAAGUACGCUUCUAAUCGUCUUCGGACAAUUCUUGAACUCUGGUCUCAAAUCAGGUAGGGCUACCCGCUGAACUUAAGCAUAUCAAUAAGCGGAGGA